AAAAGGACAUAAUCAAGUACAAUAGAAAGGCAAGAGCUUCAGGAGGUUUCCAAAACCCCAUUUCAAGUCCUCAUCUUUGAAUAGCCGCGCUGAAGCUCUGUAUCCAUGGCUUCCUCGACACUACCAUACCCGUCUAACCUUCAUCUUCUACAAACAAUAUCAUGUCCGGCUUGUAAUCACUUGAACACCAAAAAUCUCACUGGCGUUAUGAUUCGUUAUCAAUGAAGACUUCUUCAACAUGAAUGAGGUAGAUCUUUGCUGGAAUGGAAGGAAUACAGACAUAAAGCAACAUUGGCAUUUUAUCAUGACAACAUGGUGGUGCUCAACGAACAAACAUCCAAAAGCAGUGGAACAAAGAUGAGAUUAGUAUUAUAUAUGCUACUAUUGCGUUUGUAAUGGGUAUUUAAAACUAGAUACAAGAAAUAUAAAAUAACAUUAUCAUAUACAUGUCAUUAUAUCGGAUUUAAUACAUGAUUCAAUUUUUUCGA